AGGACCAUUGGUGGCAGUUGCAGGGGACCAUUUUGAGAGGUAGAGACACACUGUGAUGGCAGAGAGAGUGUGCUGAGCAGCUAGAGAUAGGAAACCCUGGUAACCGGUGACUGGGAUCAGUGUAAGGGCAGCCAAGUCACUACGUCACCUCCCAAGGGGCGCUGCAGCUCCCAGUGUCUCUGGUAGAGAAGUGUCUGAUGGAGGCGGAGCAGAGGUCGUGAAGCUGCUGUGAGAGUCCAGCCAGGAGAGUGGUAUCGCAGACUUCAUUCCUAUCGGGACAGCUCCAGACGAGGCCUCCACUACACACUGACAGCCAGUAGGUCGUGCUUCAAGAGUGCCUAACAUUACAGAGGAGGAACGUGGGGCGGACUUAGCCAGUGACUGACAGCCGGUGUGCGGGAAAACAGUGCAGUGCAGGGUAUGGCCAUGGAGAGAUAUAGACUAUUCUGUGCAGCAUUCAAAGUAGAUAUUCAAUCUCCCAACGACAACGUCUAGCACUACAAUUGGCAAGAAGAAGUGGCACCUCCGUAGAUGAUGUGAGAUAGGUGGUCUUUCUGAGGCAGCUCUGUAUAGAUGCAUUAAGAAAAAAAAAAAUAAGGAAUGCUGGAGUGUGAUCUGUGGAGGAGCCUGUAACGUGGAAAGUUCAGUCUUUGGAUGUUGAACUUUCCAUACAUUAAAAAGAGAAUAUAACUUAACUAACAAAUUACCUUACUGAGAGAGUGAAUCCAAACCUGUUUAUCAAAGUAAGAGAGAACAGCAUAUUAAA